rnacentral:rRNA from 1 species
GAUGAACGCUGGCGGCGUGCCUAAUACAUGCAAGUCGAGCGAACAGACGAGGAGCUUGCUCCUCUGACGUUAGCGGCGGACGGGUGAGUAACACGUGGAUAACCUACCUAUAAGACUGGGAUAACUUCGGGAAACCGGAGCUAAUACCGGAUAAUAUAUUGAACCGCAUGGUUCAAUAGUGAAAGACGGUUUUGCUGUCACUUAUAGAUGGAUCCGCGCCGCAUUAGCUAGUUGGUAAGGUAACGGCUUACCAAGGCAACGAUGCGUAGCCGACCUGAGAGGGUGAUCGGCCACACGGGAACUGAGACACGGUCCAGACUCCUACGGGAGGCAGCAGUAGGGAAUCUUCCGCAAUGGGCGAAAGCCUGACGGAGCAACGCCGCGUGAGUGAUGAAGGUCUUCGGAUCGUAAAACUCUGUUAUUAGGGAAGAACAAAUGUGUAAGUAACUAUGCACGUCAUGACGGUACCUAAUCAGAAAGCCACGGCUAACUACGUG